GGAAAGGAGGCUCAGUGGUAGAGCACUUGCCUUGCAUGCAUGAGGCCCUGGAUUCCAUUCCU
rnacentral:tRNA from 1 species